ensembl:lncRNA
CAAGCACGUUGGCUCCUAUCAGUUCCUUGAGAAGCAGUUAGCCCAGGCGACCCCCAGGGAGCGCAGUCGCAGGCCCCUGUGCUGGGGAGGAGCCUCCAGCGCUCUCACAGCAAACUUGGGGUGGUCACCGGCCGCCUCGCCUCGCUGGUGCACAAGAGGGAGCGUGAGACGAAGAAAAGAGGGUCCCAAAGAUGGCCGACUUUCAGGCUCGGUUAAACCAUACGGCCAGCCUUGUUGCCUAGGUUAUAAAGAAGCAGGGUCUGUCUGACCAAAAGGAGGCGAAGUCCAGAAAGCUUCUCUUGAGUGACUGUCUCAUCUGAGAAAACUGGGCUUACCAUCCCAUCCAGACCUCCAAGAGCAAGGGAGGAAGGCUGGACUUUGUGAGCGCCAAAGAAUUGAUGCUUUUGAACUGUGGUGUUGGAGAAGACUCUUGAGAGUCCCUUGGACUGCAAGGAGAUCCAACCAGUCCAUUCUGAAGGAGAUCAGCCCUGGGAUUUCUUUGGAAGGAAUGAUGCUAAAGCUGAAGCUCCAGUACUUUGGCCACCUCAUGUGAAGAGUUGACUCAUUGGAAAAGACUCUGAUGCUGGGAGGGAUUGGGGGCAGGAGGAGAAGGGGUCAACAGAGGCUGGAUGGCAUCACUGACUCGAUGGACGUGAGUCUGAGUGAACUAGGUCUGGCGUGCUGCGAUUCAUGGGGUCGCAAAGAGUCAGACACGACUGAGCGACUGAACUGGACUGGACUGGACUGGACUUUGUAAACCGCAAGUUGAUCAGCACUUAAAAAUCUUCCCUUGCCUUCCUAGUACCUUCCGCAUAACCCAAACCCUCCCCUAGGACAUCUGAGGCUUCAGCACUUGCUCCCAGGAGCCUCAUCUUUCCCCACCUGCUGUCUCUCACCUUCCCUUCCUGGUGUGCCGGACCCCCUGGAGCCCAGCGUUCUCUUUCACUUUACCCAUCAGCAGCGCAGACUAGACCCUUCAGCACUCAACCAGGCAACAGCUGGUCCGGAAGGCCAGCCCAAGGCAGCCAAGCAACACUGGGACCCUUACACAUCAUACAGGACUGACUUGGGUGUGCCAGCCUCCCCUGAUCAGACGUCUUGAGGGCACGGAACUGUGCUUACCCAUUUCUGAAAACCUAGUGCCCUCCAGAGUGGUGGUUGUAUCCACUAGAGAAGCUGUGAGCAAGAUGACAAUGGAGAAUUUUUGCAGUGUCUCAUGUGCCGGGCACAACAUGGAUGUUGUUGCCUGUAUUGUUAUAUUUAAUCCUAAUUUUGACCAUGUAAAGAUAUCUUCAAUACUUAUCUGACACAUGAAGAAAAUAAAGAUCAACAAAGUUCAAUGAUGGAAGGUCAUUGCGGUGGAAGCGAGUCAGCUUCCCAGGGAGCCUCGCCAGGAGGAGUCUGGCAGCCAGUAGCUGGUGGAGCCCGGGGACCAGACGAGCGGCCCGCCUCAGCGCUCUGCUUGUGCUCCCCUGGACUGCACCCCCUCCGGUGAUGAACAGGCCUUUCUUUCCUCUGUAUCCCCGGGACUCAGCACAGGCGCUCAGCAAGUACCUGCCCGCCAUCCUUCGCUCUGUGGUCUGGCUCGGGUGCUUAGGCUCACUUGUUGACAGCUCUCGCCCCCGGAAUCCUCACAAUGAAGUCUGCUGCCUCGAGGGGCCAGGCAAACGAUCUUCUAAACUCAGGACGUCGGAUCAGGUCAGGAGUGGUCAAUUUAGUUGCUUCGAGCAAUACCCAAACCCUCUAAUGUUAGACUUUGUUUUCUUUAUCAAUGUUUUCAGAAACUCAAACAUUUCACAAUUCCAUUUCUCCUGCUUAAAUAACAAGGCUGAUCCAAGUCUUAUUGAUGGUAUUAACUAAAUAUCUUUAAAGGGUUGAGAACAGAAUGUUUUAAGAGAAGGGGAAGUCCCGAGCGCUGGCCCUGGGCCUGAGGGCGUGCGCUCACUCGCGUCCCGUUGUGCGCGUUGUAACCUGUAACCGGCGCUGGGGGACUUCAGGCGCCGCAGUCGUCAGAAGCCGCAGAGGCGGCUCCGUGCCCCAGAUCCUGCCCGCAGGCAUCUUCAGGAAAGAAGUGAGGGCGAAAGCAACUCACAUGCCUUUGAGCCUUCGUUGGAAAACCUGAUCUUGAACUUGUCGAUCUUGACCAAGAACUACAGAAGGGCUACCUUUUCCAGUAGGGACUCAGGGGAGUCAGUGUUUGAGCUAUUAUUGCCUCAGUCUUCUCAGCUAAAGUUUGCGUUCCUUCUCUGCAAAAAGCAUACAUGUUCAUUAAAAUAAAAACUGUCAGAAAAUAAUUAACAUUAGAAAUGCACCAAUCUGGCCCAGUUUCCCAGGAGCUUCUGAUAACAGUUUUAGGCUUAUGUAAUUUUGUUGUUUUGCACUGUCCGAAGUAAAAUAAUCUUGAUCUUGUUGUUCAGUUGCUAAGUCAUGUCUGACUCUCUGGGGACAAAAUAACCUUCCGGGAGAUAUGCUAGGAGGACUCCUGCACCUUUUUUCUCAGUCUGGACCUCUGCUGCCCUCUACAGCCAAGGAAAGACAGACAACGGUCUUUUCUUAGGUUCUACUUGUCUGGAACUUUUUUUUUUUUUUAAGGAUUUUAUGUCCUUGUCAUCUUGUGAGGAAGCACUUGUAUCAGCAGAAAUACAGGGAAGACGUUAAGGAUAUAGGUAUUGAACUAAGUGAAAGCGUUAGUCUGUCAGUUGUAGCCGUCUUUGCAGCCCCGUGGACUGUAGCCUGACAGGUUCCUCUGUCCAUGAGGUUUCCCAGGCAAGAACGCUGGAGUGGGUUGCCAUCCCUUCUCCAGGGGAUCUUCCUGACCCAGGGAUGGAACCCACAUCUCCUACAUUGCAGGAAGAUUCAUUCUUUACCAUCUGAGCCACCAAGGAAACUUGAUUUCAAAUUCUUCAUCCUAAUUAGCAAUUGUAUGACCUCAGAAAGUUGCUUCAUCUUUUUGAGCCACUUUCAGAUUUAUUAAUGACUAUAUAUAUUAAUUAAUUAAUAUCUAAUUCAAAGCCAUGUUUUACAAACUAGCAAAAUACUGAAUAAGACCUUUUGCGCUCAGUUGGCAUAGAAUUAGCACAUGGCAGAUGGUGACAAGUGAUACCUAAAUUGCCUCUGUUGCUUUGAGAAUUGGCAAGAGGAGAAAGAAAGUAAUUAUUAAGCAUUAAUUUUGUACCAGGUACUGUACCAGUUUUACAUAUAUAUUCCCAUUUAAUUCUCAUGAUAAUCCAGUCAAGGAUAUAGUCAAGGAUAUGUCAAGGAUAUAGUCUUCCUAUUAUAUCAAAAAGGUAUUUCAGCCUCAGAGAAGUUAAGAAACUUUCCUAAGGUCACAGAGCUGGACUGUGACCUACCUAAGAGCAGGAUCUGUGUCUUGCUUAAACUCACAAUAAUUAAGUAGUCUUUGGUGCAAGAAUAUAUGAAAAAAUGAAUAAUCUAGGGAAUGCAUAAGGUAAAUAUGAACCUUAUUUCCCAUGCAGUGCAGACUGCAAAUGUCUCACUCAAGGAAACAGGAGUCUUGCUGGAAUGUUAGCAAACCACGUGGACUGUGAUUCUGCUUUUGUAAAAGGCACAGAGAGCGCUGCACACCACUUUGUGCAGGAUAUUUUGUUUUAUACAACAUAUUUUAGUUCCAAGUACUUAAGGAAAUCUGCGUUCAAUUAUUAACUGACCACUAGUGGAACAGAGACUUCACUGGACACACACAGCAGAGACUACAGACCAAAAAAAAUGAGUUCAGAAAAGUAAGCAAGCAAACACGUUCAAGAAACAACAAACACUGCGGGAAGGAUUAUAAUAGUCACAUGUAUGAUAUCAGAAUGCCCUGUUUCCAACAACAGCAAAGUAAUAUGACACACACAAAUAAGACAGUGCGCUCCAACCACAAGGGGGGAGCAGUCAGUAGACACUGUCCCCAAACAAACCAGCUGCUGGGCUUUUAGACAGAUAGUUUAAACUGGCUAUUAAAAAUAUCUUCAAACAGCUAAAACUUCUAAAACACUAGAGGAAAUCAUGAGAAUAGUUUCUCACCAAUAGGAAAUAUCAACGAAGAGAGAGAUUUCAUGAAAAAAGACCUAAAUGGAAAUUCGGAAGUUGAAAAACACAAUAUAAUAACUGAAAUGAAAAUUCACUAGAGGAAAUCAGCAACAAAUGAGCAGGCAGAGAGAAGGAAUCAGUGGACUUGAAGACAGACCAAUUAAGAUUAUCUAGUCUGAAAAGGAAAAAAAUGGGGAAAGAAAUGAACAGAGCAUAAGAGACCUGUGUGAGGCCAGCAAGCAAAGAGACAUGUGUAAUUGGGUGCCCAGGUAAAGAGAAAGAGAGGAAGAGGAAGGGGCAGAAAGAAUAUUUGAAAAAAUAAUGACAAAUACUUCCCAACUUUGAUGAAAGAUAUGAAUCAACAAAUCCAAGAAGCUCAAUGAAACUCAAGUUGGAAAAACUCAAAACCUCUACGCACAUUUUAAUCAAAUUGUCUAAAGACAAUCUUUAAAGUAGCAAGACAGAAGAGACUCAUCACAUAUAAAGAAUCCUCCAUAAGAUUAACAGCUGUUUUCUCAUAAAAAACCAUGGUGCCCAGAAGAAAGUAGCAUAUUCAAAUUUUUAGGAGAAAAAAAUUGUUAUCCAAAAUUUUUAACUAGCAAAACUAUUCUUUAAAAAAAAAUGGAGGAGAAAUUAAGAACUCCCUAAUAAAGAAAAACUGAAAGAAUUCGUUGUUAGUAGACCUGCCUCACAAGACACACUAAAAGGAGACCUUCAAGCAGUAAUGAAAGGACACCAGAGAGGAAUCUGAACCAACACAAAUAAUAAAGAACAGCAGUAAAGGUGCCUGCACAGGCAAAUGUUAGCCAGUGUGAGGAUUUCUACUUGUGACUCCUCUUUUUUCCAUUUUAUUUAAAAGACAAGUGUAAUCACUGUAAGUCUGUGUUUACGGGCACACAUGCCUAAAGAUGGAGUUUAUGCACUGUAAAGGAAGAUGGGAGAUAUAUAGAAGCAAAGCUUUAUAUAAUAUUGAAGUUGUUUGU